UACGGGGGGGGCAAGCGUUGUUCGGAAUUACUGGGCGUAAAGGGCUCGUAGGUGGCCAACUAAGUCAGACGUGAAAUCCCUCGGCUUAACCGGGGAACUGCGUCUGAUACUGGAUGGCUUGAGUUCGGGAGAGGGAUGCGGAAUUCCAGGUGUAGCGGUGAAAUGCGUAGAUAUCUGGAGGAAUACCGGUGGCGAAGGCGGCAUCCUGGACCAUUACUGACGCUUAAGCGCGAAAGCUAGGGGAGCAAACGGG
rnacentral:rRNA from 1 species